UACGAAGGGGGCAAGCGUUGUUCGGAAUCACUGGGCGUAAAGCGCACGCAGGCGGAUCGGUAAGUCGGGGGUGAAAGCCCGGGGCUCAACCGCGGAAUUGCCUUCGAUACUGUCGGGCUCGAGGCCGGGAGAGGUGAGUGGAAUUCCUAGUGUAGAGGUGCAAUUCGUAGAUAUUAGGAAGAACACCAGUGGCGAAGGCGGCUCACUGGAACGGUACUGACGCUCAGGUGCGAAAGCGUGGGGAGCAAACAGG
rnacentral:rRNA from 1 species